AUCCAUACACUCCACCACAAAUAAUGAGUUGCUACACCAAAAUGAUAGUACUUGUAACAAUAAUUAUGCUUUUGGGUUCACAACAAAUAACGGCAAUAAGACCGUUAUUAAUAGAGAAGCAAGUGUUAUUGUUGUAUAAGAAUGUAGCAACACAGUCACUACAAAGAGGUCCCGUCCAAGGCUCCCAGAGAAACCCAUGCUCCACCGUGCCUGGCCGCAGCCGCGGAGAUUGCACGUAA